rnacentral:lncRNA from 1 species
GAUACAUCUCCAUCGUAUCUACUUUUCCAAACUCUUUUGCCCUUGUUUUGGACUCUAAUUUGCAUGAUUUGAAUGGAACUAACCCGGACUAAAGUUGUUUUCACCAGAAUUGCCAUGGUGUUGUUUUUGCGCAGAAAUAAAAGUUCUCGGAAUGACCUGGAAAUUUAUGAGAAUUUUUUGUGGAAUAUAUAAAAAAAUACUGGCCCAAGAAUCAACCGGAGACGUGGAGCGAGGAGCCCACAAGCCCAGGAGGCACGGGCCCCCCUGGCCGCGUCUUGCACGCUUGUGGGGCCCUCGGGGCUCCGCCGCCUCCAACUCCAGCUCUAUUUAGUCCCCUUCGCCCGGAAAAAAAUCAGGGAGAAGAGUUCAUCGCGUUUUACGAUACGGAGGCACCGCCACCACCUGUUCUUCCUCUAGAGGGCAGAUCUGGAGUCCGUUCUGGGCUCUGGAGAGGGGAGAUCGUCACCGUCGUCAUCACCAACCUUCCUUCAUCGCCAAUUCCAUGAUGCUUUUCACCGUUCGUGAGUAAUCUCAUCGUAGGCUUGUUGGACGGUGAUGGGUUGGAUGAGAUCUAUUAUGUAAUCGAGUUGGUUUUGAUGAGGAUUGAUCCCUAGUAUCCACUAUGUUCUGGGAUUGAUGUUGCUACUACUUUGCCAUGCUUAAUGCUUAUCACUAGGGCACGAGUGCCAUGAUUUCAGAUCUGAACCUAUUAUGUUUUCAUCAAUAUAUGUGCGUUCUUGAUCCUAUCUUUCAAGUUGUAGUCACCUACUAUGUGUUAUGACCCGGCAACCCCGGAGUGACAAUAGCCGGAACCACUCUCGGAGAUGACCAUAGUAUGAGGAGUUCAUGUAUUCACUGUGUGCUAAUGCUUUGUUUCGGUUCUCUAUUAAAAGGAGAACCUUAAUAUCCCGUAGUUUCCAUUAGGACCCCGCUGCCACGAGAGGGAUGGACAAUAGAUGUCAUGCGAGUUCUUUUCACGUAUGACUAUAUACGGAAUGCAUGCCUACAUUACUUUGACGAACUGGAGCUAGUUACAUAUCUCCCCAUGUUAUAACUGUUACAUGAUGAAUGUCAUCCGGCAUAAUUAUCCAUCACCGAUCCAAUGCCUACGAGUUUUUCCUACUGGUCCUUGAUACGUUACUUUGCCGCUACUACUGUCACUCAUGCUACUGUUACCGGUACUGCUAUCACUGUUGCUAUUGUUGCUAUCACACUACUUUGCUACUGAAACUUUGCUGCAGAUACUAAGUCUUUCAGGUGUGGUUGAAUUGAUAACUCAACUGCUAAUACUCGAGAAUAAUCUUUUGCUUCCCCUUGUGUCGAAUCAACAAAUUUGGGUUGAAUACUCUACCCUCGAAAAUUGUUGCGAUCCCCUAUACUUGUGGGUUAUCAAGACUAUUUUUUGGCGCCAUUGCCGGGGAGGCCUAGCACUAUUCUCUGAGUCACUUGGGAUUUAUGUCUGUUGAUCACUAUGAGGAAUCUAAGAGAUCCAAAAACUAAAGUCUUGCCCUCAACUACGAGGACAUGUAAGGAAUUAUCAUAUAGCUUUGCACUUGAUUCACCUUCAGUUAUGAGUAAGUUUGCGACACUACCACCUGCUAGAAAUUCUGAUAUGUCGCAUGUGCUUGAUGAUGCUACUUCUGCUAUCCAUGAUGCUUGUGAUGAUGCUUUGCUUGAUACUGCUUUGCCACUAGGUGCAUUCCUAGAUGCACAAAUUGCUAGAGUUGCUGCUGAAUGUGAUGAUACUUCUGAAACUAGUGAGAUUAUUGAAGUAGAACCUGCUAUUUCACCUGUUAGAACUAGCUCUCCUAGAUAUGAAUUGCCUGAUAUACCUGAGGGUUAUGUUAUGGAGGGAGAGGUAGCUGAGGACUUUCUUGCUUGUAAGGAUAGCUAUGAUCUUGAGAAAUUACUGCGCAAGUGGAAAGAAAAAUCUCUGAACGCUAGGAUAAAAUACGACCCUAAGUUUGCUACUUCGCCUAUCUUUGUGACCGAUAAGGAUUAUGAAUUCUCUGUCGAUCCUGAGUUAAUCACUUUGGUCGAAUCUGAUCCUUUUCAUGGUUAUGAGUCUGGAACGGUUGUAGCACAUCUUACUAAGCUGCACCAUAUAGCCACCCUAUUCAUGAGUGAGGAAAAGAUCCACCACUACUAUAUCCUUAAGUUGUUUCAUUUCUCGCUAAAGGGUGAUGCUAAGACUUGGUUCACUUCUCUUGCUCCUCGUUGUGUGCGUAGUCCCCAGUAUAUGAUCUACUACUUCUCUGAGAAAUAUUUCUUGUCCAUAAGAAACAAGUUGCCUUGCACGAAAUAUAUAACUUUGUGCAAGUUGAAGAAGAGAGUCUCUCACAAGCUUGGGGGAGGCUUGUCCAGCUGUUGAAUGCUUUGCCUGAUCACCCUCUUGAGAAGAAUGAAAUAAUUGAUAUCUUCUAUAAUAGACUAACCGAUGCUUCUAGGGACCACCUAGAUAGUUGUGCUGGUUGUGUUUUUAGGGAACGAACCGUGGAACAAGCUGAGAUUCUAUUGAAUAAUAUCUUGUGGAGUGAGAAUGCUUGGACUAUUCCCGAACCACCUCCGAAGCCAACUCCGAAGAAAAGAGGUAUUCUAUUCCUCAGUCCUCAAGAUAUGCAAGAAGCUAAGAAAUCUAUGCAAGAGAAAGGCAUUAAAUCUGAUGAUGUUAAGAAUCUACCACCUAUCGAAGAGAUCCAUGGUCUUGAUAACCGGACACAGGUAGUAGAGGUAAAUUCUCUUCGUAGAUUCAAUGAGAGUGAUAUUCCUUUUGAUAAACCUACUAGAUUAUGCUUAGAUGAGUUUGAUAACUUUGUUGCCAAACAACAAAGUUUCAAUGAUUAUGUUAGCAGACAAUUGGAACAGAAUGCUCGUAUGCUUAGUCAUUUAAGUGCUUGUGUGGAUAGAAAUGUAAAUGAUCUUAAGCUUUUGAGUAAACAUGCAUCUAUGGUCACUACUCAAGUAGAACAAGUACUUAGGGCUCAAAAUGACUUGCUCAAUGAGUUGAAUGAAAAUUCUGUUAGAGUCGUCACUAGAGGCGGUAGAAUGACCCAAGAACCUUUGUAUCCUGAGGGUCAUCCUAANCACAUCCAUACUGUUUGAUCUGUAUGACAAAUCGUAUACCAUGGAUUUAGAGGAUUUCAAUAGAAUUUGCAAGAUACCUGAUUGGGGUAGUCUAAAUGAUCCUCCCAAGUCUUCGAUUAGAGAUUUUAUCUCUAGUAUAACUGUCGGAGAAACUAGAGAUAUUACGCAGGCUACCAUGGGGAGCAUUCAUUUUCCUGCCUUGCAUUACUUUGCCCUCUUCAUAGGUAGAUGCAUUAAUGGCAAGAUUGACCAUUUUCACCUCUACGCACCUGACCUUAGUAUUCUUAAGAGCGUAGUAAUGGGUGAUAGAAGUUUCCACAUGGAGCUAUAAUCGCGAGGAGGCUAAAUAAUAAUGCUAAUGAAGGGGAUUUCUUUGGUGGGCUCUAUGCCACUCGCAUAGCAAAUUUUCUUGGAGUACCUAUCCGCGAAGGAGAUCCCCCGCUCCAUAAAGCUUUCCUUGAUCGCGCCGCUAUGACACGUUAUCAGUUCCUUGAGAGGGAUAAUGAAUCCCUCCUAUACCGGUUAAUAUUUAAUCAACAGCGUGUUUUCCAUAUUACCCUUCCUGCUCCUGCCUUCUUUGAAUUUCAGGUAAAACGGAGAUACUACAUAACCAGAGGAGAGGCAGAGGAGUAUGAGAGGGAGGCAAAGGCUGCUCGCCUCCGUGAGGCUGCUAUUCAGGCGGUAGCUGCCGCGUUCCCGUACAACCCCCCAUUAUGAUUUUGGAUAUCGCCCGGACCAGCCAUGGGAGUAGACCAACUUAGGCCAAAAGCCUAAGCUUGGGGGAGUACGUGUUUCUCACCGACUUUACAUUCAUGCUCACACUUUCACUUUGAUAGUUGGUGUUCACACCUUGCCACUGUAUCAUCCAUGCUAGUUUAUUUCUUUUUCUUGCUUUCUUCUCGUGCGUUUGUUUAGAUUGAGAAAACCCAAAAAGAUUUCUCGUUCUUCUUUUGCUUGUUGGGAGCUUUCCCGUGUAAAUAGUUUUCUUUUUCUUUGGGUCUAGGUAGAAGACCAUGGUUACAAUGUUUAGUGGCUCUCGCAUGCAUAUCUGUUUAUCUGUCAAAGAGCCAUAUUAUUUUGUCUUCUCCUUUGUGUUUGCUUGUAGAUUCCAGUGUAGUCCAAUGCACGAACACUCUUAUUAUUGUUCACAUCUUCGGUCGUGCAAGUGAAAGGCAAUAAUGACAAUAUAUGAUGAAGUGACUGAGCCUGGAAAAGCUGGUAUGAACUCGAUCUAUUUUGUUUUUGUAAAUAUGACUAGCUCAUCGUUCCUAAUUCAGCUUUGUUAUGAGAGAAACAUGUUUGCAAUGACAACUUAGAGAUCAUAGUUUUUGAUGUCAUGCUUAAUUAGCUUGGAGCUUAUAAUGGUUUGUCUUGGAUGCCAACAUGAAUUUCAAGAUGAUUAUGAUGUAGUAUGAUAGGAUGGUAUCCUCCUUUGAAUAAUUCAAGUGGCUUGACUUAGCACAUGUUCACGCAUGUAGUUGAAACAAAAUCAACAUAGCCUCUAUGAUAUUCAUGUUUAUGGUGAUUUAUGUCCUACUCAUGCUUGCACUCAAUGUUGGUUAAUUUCAAUGCUUAUUGAUGACUGUUGUCGCUCUCUAGUUGGUUGCUUCCGAGUCUUUUGCUAGAAUUCACUUGUACUAAGCGGGAAUACUGCUUGUGCAUCCACUUCCAUAAACCUAAAGUUGUUCCAUAUGAGUCCACCAUACCUACCUAUAUGCGGUAUCUACGUGACGUUCCAAGUAAAUUUGCAUGUGCCACACUCUAAACCUUCAAGUAAUAAUCUGUUUUGCAUGCCCGAACCGCUCAUGUGGUGACAAGGGGCGGUCAGUAUCUUCCAUGCUAGGCGUGUUAUCCUCGAUAUGUGUUUAUUCACUAUCACUCACGAGAAAGGGGCCGGUAAUUGGAAUGCCCAGUUCUAUGCUCAAAUCGAAAAGAUAAUUGCAAACAAAACUCCCCCUAGAUUGUUGUUGGUAUGGACGGCACCCGAGUAUUCGGCUAGUCGUGGAGUGUGAUUGAUCGGUGGUGGGGGAGUCAAAACUUUACUUUUCUGUUUGGGAACCGCCUAUAGUAUGUGUAGCAUGGAAGAUGGUGAAAACUCUUGGUCAUUGCGUUGACAAUGAAAGCAUGCACCCAAAACUAUUUAUCUCUGUCUUCAAAGCUUGAGCUCUAGCACCUCUGCAAAUCAAUGCUUCCCUCUGCGAAGGGCCUAUCUAUUUAUGUUUCUGUUGAGUCAUUAUCUUCUUUCAAAAGCACCAAUUAGAGAGCACCUCCAUCAUUUUUAUGAUUUGCUAUUAAUUGAUAUUGAGUACGACUGUGACUGGAUCUUCUUUGCCAUGAAUUACAAUGUUCAGUCAGCCCUUGGUCUUUGAAGGUGCUCUGCAUUUAUGUUUUGCGGUCUCAGAAAGAGCUAGCGAUAUACCAUAUGUUCAUAUUGCUUCAUGAUUGUUUUGAUUGAGGUAUUGAUGUUUGAAACUUAUUAUUAUUGCACGCUAGUUGAUUAUGCCAUUGAUAUGAGUACAUUUUGAGACCUAAAUGUCAUUGCUUAUGUGGUUAGCUUAUGAUCUUGCUGAAAAUCUGAAUAUGAGUUAGACAUAAUUACAGCAGCAAGAUCAAACAAAGUUCGUAAAAGUUUUUCUUUUGUCUCUUUCAGUUUGUCAACUGAAUUCUUGAGGAGAAGCAAGGCUUUAAGCUUGGGGGAGUUGAUACGUCUCCAUCGUAUCUACUGUUCCAAACUCUUUUGCCCCUGUUUUGGACUCUAAUUUGUAUGAUUUGAAUGGAACUAACCCGGACUAUCGCUAUUUUCAACAGAAUUGCCAUGGUGUUGUUUUUGCGCAGAAAUAAAAGUUCUCGGAAUGACCUGGAAAUUUACGAGGAUUUUUUGUGGAAUAUAGAAAAAAUACUGGCGCAAGAAU